AGCGUACACGGUGGAUGCCCUGGCAGUCAGAGGCGAUGAAGGACGUGCUAAUCUGCGAUAAGCGUCGGUAAGGUGAUAUGAACCGUUAUAACCGGCGAUUUCCGAAUGGGGAAACCCAGUGUGAUUCGUCACACUAUCAUUAACUGAAUCCAUAGGUUAAUGAGGCGAACCGGGGGAACUGAAACAUCUAAGUACCCCGAGGAAAAGAAAUCAACCGAGAUUCCCCCAGUAGCGGCGAGCGAACGGGGAGGAGCCCAGAGCCUGAAUCAGUGUGUGUGUUAGUGGAAGCGUCUGGAAAGGCGCGCGAUACAGGGUGACAGCCCCGUACACAAAAAUGCACAUACUGUGAGCUCGAUGAGUAGGGCGGGACACGUGGUAUCCUGUCUGAAUAUGGGGGGACCAUCCUCCAAGGCUAAAUACUCCUGACUGACCGAUAGUGAACCAGUACCGUGAGGGAAAGGCGAAAAGAACCCCGGCGAGGGGAGUGAAAAAGAACCUGAAACCGUGUACGUACAAGCAGUGGGAGCACGCUUCGGCGUGUGACUGCGUACCUUUUGUAUAAUGGGUCAGCGACUUAUAUUCUGUAGCAAGGUUAACCGAAUAGGGGAGCCGAAGGGAAACCGAGUCUUAACUGGGCGUUAAGUUGCAGGGUAUAGACCCGAAACCCGGUGAUCUAGCCAUGGGCAGGUUGAAGGUUGGGUAACACUAACUGGAGGACCGAACCGACUAAUGUUGAAAAAUUAGCGGAUGACUUGUGGCUGGGGGUGAAAGGCCAAUCAAACCGGGAGAUAGCUGGUUCUCCCCGAAAGCUAUUUAGGUAGCGCCUCGUGAAUUCAUCUCCGGGGGUAGAGCACUGUUUCGGCAAGGGGGUCAUCCCGACUUACCAACCCGAUGCAAACUGCGAAUACCGGAGAAUGUUAUCACGGGAGACACACGGCGGGUGCUAACGUCCGUCGUGAAGAGGGAAACAACCCAGACCGCCAGCUAAGGUCCCAAAGUCAUGGUUAAGUGGGAAACGAUGUGGGAAGGCCCAGACAGCCAGGAUGUUGGCUUAGAAGCAGCCAUCAUUUAAAGAAAGCGUAAUAGCUCACUGGUCGAGUCGGCCUGCGCGGAAGAUGUAACGGGGCUAAACCAUGCACCGAAGCUGCGGCAGCGACACUAUGUGUUGUUGGGUAGGGGAGCGUUCUGUAAGCCUGCGAAGGUGUACUGUGAGGUAUGCUGGAGGUAUCAGAAGUGCGAAUGCUGACAUAAGUAACGAUAAAGCGGGUGAAAAGCCCGCUCGCCGGAAGACCAAGGGUUCCUGUCCAACGUUAAUCGGGGCAGGGUGAGUCGACCCCUAAGGCGAGGCCGAAAGGCGUAGUCGAUGGGAAACAGGUUAAUAUUCCUGUACUUGGUGUUACUGCGAAGGGGGGACGGAGAAGGCUAUGUUGGCCGGGCGACGGUUGUCCCGGUUUAAGCGUGUAGGCUGGUUUUCCAGGCAAAUCCGGAAAAUCAAGGCUGAGGCGUGAUGACGAGGCACUACGGUGCUGAAGCAACAAAUGCCCUGCUUCCAGGAAAAGCCUCUAAGCAUCAGGUAACAUCAAAUCGUACCCCAAACCGACACAGGUGGUCAGGUAGAGAAUACCAAGGCGCUUGAGAGAACUCGGGUGAAGGAACUAGGCAAAAUGGUGCCGUAACUUCGGGAGAAGGCACGCUGAUAUGUAGGUGAAGUCCCUCGCGGAUGGAGCUGAAAUCAGUCGAAGAUACCAGCUGGCUGCAACUGUUUAUUAAAAACACAGCACUGUGCAAACACGAAAGUGGACGUAUACGGUGUGACGCCUGCCCGGUGCCGGAAGGUUAAUUGAUGGGGUUAGCGGUAACGCGAAGCUCUUGAUCGAAGCCCCGGUAAACGGCGGCCGUAACUAUAACGGUCCUAAGGUAGCGAAAUUCCUUGUCGGGUAAGUUCCGACCUGCACGAAUGGCGUAAUGAUGGCCAGGCUGUCUCCACCCGAGACUCAGUGAAAUUGAACUCGCUGUGAAGAUGCAGUGUACCCGCGGCAAGACGGAAAGACCCCGUGAACCUUUACUAUAGCUUGACACUGAACAUUGAGCCUUGAUGUGUAGGAUAGGUGGGAGGCUUUGAAGUGUGGACGCCAGUCUGCAUGGAGCCGACCUUGAAAUACCACCCUUUAAUGUUUGAUGUUCUAACGUUGGCCCGUAAUCCGGGUUGCGGACAGUGUCUGGUGGGUAGUUUGACUGGGGCGGUCUCCUCCUAAAGAGUAACGGAGGAGCACGAAGGUUGGCUAAUCCUGGUCGGACAUCAGGAGGUUAGUGCAAUGGCAUAAGCCAGCUUGACUGCGAGCGUGACGGCGCGAGCAGGUGCGAAAGCAGGUCAUAGUGAUCCGGUGGUUCUGAAUGGAAGGGCCAUCGCUCAACGGAUAAAAGGUACUCCGGGGAUAACAGGCUGAUACCGCCCAAGAGUUCAUAUCGACGGCGGUGUUUGGCACCUCGAUGUCGGCUCAUCACAUCCUGGGGCUGAAGUAGGUCCCAAGGGUAUGGCUGUUCGCCAUUUAAAGUGGUACGCGAGCUGGGUUUAGAACGUCGUGAGACAGUUCGGUCCCUAUCUGCCGUGGGCGCUGGAGAACUGAGGGGGGCUGCUCCUAGUACGAGAGGACCGGAGUGGACGCAUCACUGGUGUUCGGGUUGUCAUGCCAAUGGCACUGCCCGGUAGCUAAAUGCGGAAGAGAUAAGUGCUGAAAGCAUCUAAGCACGAAACUUGCCCCGAGAUGAGUUCUCCCUGACUCCUUGA
rnacentral:rRNA from 1 species